UGGGGAAUAUUGCACAAUGGGCGCAAGCCUGAUGCAGCCAUGCCGCGUGUGUGAAGAAGGCCUUCGGGUUGUAAAGCACUUUCAGCGGGGAGGAAGGCGUUAAGGUUAAUAACCUUGGCGAUUGACGUUACCCGCAGAAGAAGCACCGGCUAACUCCGUGCCAGCAGCCGCGGUAAUACGGAGGGUGCAAGCGUUAAUCGGAAUUACUGGGCGUAAAGCGCACGCAGGCGGUCUGUCAAGUCGGAUGUGAAAUCCCCGGGCUCAACCUGGGAACUGCAUUCGAAACUGGCAGGCUAGAGUCUUAUAGAGGGGGGUAGAAUUCCAGGUGUAGCGGUGAAAUGCGUAGAGAUCUGGAGGAAUACCGGUGGCGAAGGCGGCCCCCUGGACAAAGACUGACGCUCAGGUGCGAAAGCGUGGGGAGCAAACAGG
rnacentral:rRNA from 1 species